CCCCUAGACGUUCUGGGCUGCACGCGCGCUGCAAUAAUACGCACAGCGAGUAUCACCGAGCUCGAAAGGGCAAGGUAAACAAUAGAAAAGGUACUGUAAUGGUUAUAGAUCCUUGUAAUUAUUGAUCUUCAACGAGGAAUUCCUAGUAAGUAUGUGUCAUCAUCACGCACUGAUUACGUCCCUGCCCUUUGUACACACCGCCCGUCGCUCCUACCGAUUGGGUGAGCCGAUGAAACUCUCGGAUGUAGGCUAUUCAUAGCCCGCAGAAGAGAUUUGAAUCGUAGCGCUUAGAGGAAGGAGAAGUCGUAACA
rnacentral:rRNA from 1 species